rnacentral:rRNA from 1 species
GAUGAACGCUGGCGGCGUGCUUAACACAUGCAAGUCGAACGGGAUCCAUCGGGCUUUGCUUGGUGGUGAGAGUGGCGAACGGGUGAGUAAUGCGUGACCGACCUGCCCCAUGCUCCGGAAUAGCUCCUGGAAACGGGUGGUAAUGCCGGAUGUUCCACAUGAUCGCAUGUGAUUGUGGGAAAGAUUCUAUCGGCGUGGGAUGGGGUCGCGUCCUAUCAGCUUGUUGGUGAGGUAACGGCUCACCAAGGCUUCGACGGGUAGCCGGCCUGAGAGGGCGACCGGCCACAUUGGGACUGAGAUACGGCCCAGACUCCUACGGGAGGCAGCAGUGGGGAAUAUUGCACAAUGGGCGCAAGCCUGAUGCAGCGACGCCGCGUGAGGGAUGGAGGCCUUCGGGUUGUAAACCUCUUUUGUUUGGGAGCAAGCCUUCGGGUGAGUGUACCUUUCGAAUAAGCGCCGGCUGACUACGUGCCAGCAGCCGCGGUAAUACGUAGGGCGCAAGCGUUAUCCGGAUUUAUUGGGCGUAAAGGGCUCGUAGGCGGCUCGUCGCGUCCGGUGUGAAAGUCCAUCGCUUAACGGUGGAUCUGCGCCGGGUACGGGCGGGCUGGAGUGCGGUAGGGGAGACUGGAAUUCCCGGUGUAACGGUGGAAUGUGUAGAUAUCGGGAAGAACACCGAUGGCGAAGGCAGGUCUCUGGGCCGUCACUGACGCU